rnacentral:rRNA from 1 species
UACGGAGGAUGCGAGCGUUAUCCGGAUUUAUUGGGUUUAAAGGGUGCGUAGGCGGCUUUUUAAGUCAGCGGUGAAAUUUUGCAGCUUAACUGUAACAGUGCCGUUGAUACUGGGGAGCUAGGAUUUGGUUGCUGUGGGUGGAAUGUGUGGUGUAGCGGUGAAAUGCUUAGAGAUCACACAGAAUAUCGAUUGCGAAGGCAGCUCACAAAGCCAAGAUUGACGCUGAGGCACGAAGGCGUGGGGAGCGAACAGGAUUA